rnacentral:lncRNA from 1 species
UUUCUCUGUAUAGCCCUGGCUGUCCUGGAACUCACUCUGUAGACCAGGCUGGCCUUGAACUCAGAAAUCCACCUGCCUCUGUCUCCUGAGUCCUGAGAUUAAAGGUGUGUGUUACCACCGCCUGGUGAGGGCAGAUCUUUAUGUACCUUGCAAAAGUAUGUGUUUUUAAAUUGGCAGUUUGAAAAAUAAAAUCAGGACCCCUAUCCAGCCCCACUCAGAUGAUACCCAGAAGCCCCCCAGUGUCACAAAGAUGAGCAAGUGCUCUGGAAGAUGGCCAGACAGGGUUGGUCUUACCCAAAUGUCUCAGGCUAGUGGCUCCUGGUCACUUGGUGUCAUUUCAAGUCUCAACUGUGCUCAGAGGUUGUGUCAAUCUGACAACCACCAUCAACCAUCACACCACCCAACCGUGAAACACUUCCUCCACACUCUUCGACCGCACAAGCAUCGGUCCCAACAAAGCAACGCCUGGUUCUGGAGUCAACGGUUCAUAAAGUCACUGGGUGCUGACCUGGGGAAGACGGAGCCCACAGUAGACUGACAGGGUGAUGUCCCCACAAGCCUCUGGUCAUGAAGCAAGAUGGAAAAGGUGGUGAGGGAGGGGGUGUGGGUGAAAAAUCAAGGUAUUAAGAUAAGAUGCGAUUAUAUUAGACUCUCAGUAACUUAAACAAUUGCUGUUCUUCGUGCGUGAUGAGAAAAUGGUCAGGGAAGAGAGCUGGGGAAGAGACUACAGGCAGAGAGGGAGCCCUGAGGACCAGGCAGGGGAAACCCUAGCAUACGUGUG